rnacentral:rRNA from 1 species
AAGAGGAUGCGUCAGUCGCAAGAUGAAGCGUUGAAUUGAAGCCCGAGUAAACGGCGGCCGUAACUAUAACGGUCCUAAGGUAGCGAAAUUCCUUGUCGGUUAAAUACCGACCUGCAUGAAUGGCGUAACGAGAUGGGAGCUGUCUCAACCAGAGAUUCAGUGAAAUUGUAGUGGAGGUGAAAAUUCCUCCUACCCGCGGCAAGACGGAAAGACCCCGUGGACCUUUACUACAACUUAGCACUGCUAAUGGGAAUAUCAUGCGCAGGAUAGGUGGGAGGCUUUGAAGUAAGGGCUUUGGCUCUUAUGGAGA